rnacentral:misc_RNA from 1 species
GGUAGCCUUCCUGGAAGACUUCGGGCCGCGAGGCACGGUGCCACCGCGACGCCGAGAGUCGUUCGGACGAGCGCGUUACGCGCCUGUUUUGGGCAGAUGGAGGUCGGAGACCCCGUGCCCACCGCAUUUUCCGCAUCCCCGAGAACGGGCGAUCGAUCGAGGGCCGCGACGACAGCCGAAGGAGCGCGAGUGCCGCGGAACACGAAAGCCGCCUGAGUUCACCCGAAGCCGCACCGUGCGAACGGGAAGCCCCUGGGCGAACGGGACAAGUUUCGACAUACGAAUUCCUUCGAACUAGGUAUGCAACACAGGAAACCGGGAACCCGAACGAGGCCGUAGCUCUCGCAAAACAACUGAAGAGCAUUGCACGGUAGAAGUCGCUGCACCGGGCAGGGAUCC